AAAAUUGAAACGAUUUUAAUAGAAAAAAAACUAGUGUAAAUUGCCGAGUGUAGUGUUAAUGACUUCUAAUUGCAACUAAAUCGUCGAUCAAUAACACCACAGAGACGUUAUAAAAAACUUAAAUUUGUCGCAGAAAAUAAAAUGAUAAAAAAAUGAAUUCAGACAAAAUUUCUUUAAUCAAAAUAAUUUCGUUAAACGGCUUUCGUUAAAAGUCAUUUAAUACUCUAAAAACAGCUUUUCUACAAAAACGUCUUGGUGUUUGUUUAAAUAAACGUUUAUAAAGAGGUUUAAAAUUAGUAAAGUGAAAAAUUUUUUUGAAAUAAAAUUUUCUUGAAGCAAAACACAAAAAAAAAUAUAUUUUUUCGAACAGAAAACGUUUUCAAUUGUUCCUGGCUUGCAAAAAACUAUUUGAACGACAAACUCAAAUGGAUAGGGACAAUUUAAUUGUUUGGAUUAUAAAAGUAGCAACGGUGUAGGAGCGUUAUCUCUGUUGCCGUCAAUACAAAAACUAUGCCUUAUCUUAAGAUCUAAAUUUCACGAAGAUGUUAUUGAAAUCUUCGUAUGGACCAUCUGCUAACUGUAGAUUGUUCCUAGCACUGCUAUAAUUAGCUCAUCAGAUACUUAUCACUCAUGAUGAGAUCGUCUACAGUGCGAUCCUUAAUUUAUUUAGGAAACAUCACGCAUCUUAUGCAAUGUUCCCGUUUUAUUUGUUUUGGCAAACAUGUCGGGACUGAAUUCGAUAAAAUUUGGAAUCUUUCACAUUGCGUAAGCACUAUACAUAGAAAACACAUAAGUAUUGUGCGUCCUCCUGUUUCUGGCUCACAAUAUUAUAGCUACAAAGAUAAUCUGUUGCUGCGCUAAAACAUGACAAGCAUUUUAUAAUAUAUUCAUUCCUUCAAGCACGCACUUAAUAGUUCUGUCAGCGAUCUGUGCGAUGCGGACUACACUUUUAUUGCAAUCGAUAUUGGGGCAUACAAGUCCGAUCGUGACCGUGACAUUAAAUGCCAUUCGGAAUUCAGGAGGCGCUUACUCCGAAAUAGAGUAGACGAACAAACGUCUCAAGUCAUCACAGACAUUAAUACCGAACUUGUGCGGGGCGACGCGGUAUUUCCUCUACGGGACAACCUAAUGAGGCCUUACCCUGGAAUUCUAUUAGCACAACACAAGGAAACUUCCUAUAAAAGGCUAUCCCGAAAAAAAAGGACAAUCGAAAAUGUAUUCGAUGCAUUGACCUCUCGUCAAAGGCUUCUGUUAAGCCCUAUCCACAUGAAUUUCGAAAACGCCCGCUGCAGCAAUGGUAAGAGGCCGUUGCCGUCUUACAUAAUUUUAUGAAAAUGCAUCAUGGUUCACAAAACAACAAG